rnacentral:lncRNA from 1 species
GAAACUGUAAAAUAAAUGACAAAGAAUUAAGUAAAAUAAUCGAUGAAGAACAAUACAAAACUAAUCAUAUACCAACCACUGCGGUGGGUGAUAUAUCAACCAGUGCAGUUACUGAAAAAAUGUUAAAACAAUUAAAAACCGAUUUAAAUACAACUCAAACGAGUAAAAAAUGUAAAUUUAUUGAUAAUGGUGAAGUUAAUAUUUUAGACGGAGUAAGUAACACGAAUGAAAUUAUUAAAAAUAAAGAUACUGGAGAAAUUGAUAAAACAAACGAAACAAACGAAACAAACGAAACACGCGAAACAAACGAAACACGCGAAACAAACAAAACACACGAAACGUACGAGACAAACAAAACACACGAAAGAAAUGAAACACACGAAACGUACGAGACAAAUUAUAGUAAUAAAUUUAACUGUUAUAAUAAUACAAACGAAGAUAAUGAUAAAAAUGAAGAGAAUGAUAGUAUACAUAAUACAAGUAAUGACAAACAAAUGAAAUUUGAAAAUAUAGAAAAUUGUAAUAAAUUAAAAAAAGAAAUGGAUAAUAUUGUAUAUUAUAAUGCAAGUAUGUAUUAUUCAUUAAAUGAAAUAUUAAGUAGAAAAGUAGACAUGCAAAAAAAUACAAAAACUUUAUUAGGUAAAAUUAAUGUUGUUUUAAACUCUAUUAUGUUUCUGACUGUUAUAUAUAAAAUUAUUAUGUCAAUUUUAAAUAUUAUUUUUAUAAGAAUAUAUACAAGAGAUCCUUUUUCAAAACUUAUUGAAAAGAUAUGUACAUUUUUUAAUAUAAAAUAUAAUAUAGCUAUUAUAUAUGCACCAUAUAUAUCAGUUAUAUAUAUUUCCUACAUCGUAGCAAUAAACAUGAAAAGAUUUUUACAACAUGUUAUUCAAAUUUCUACUUAUUUUUCAUUUUACUCCAAAUUAUUUUCAAAUAUAUGGAUAUUUAUUAUAUCUGAAUUGAUGGGUCUUUAUUUUGUAACGAACUCUUUAAUCUUAUCUUCUUAUUUACCCAUGAAUUAUAAUAAUAUUAUGAAUUUUGCAACAGCAAAUUAUUAUGAUUAUAAUAUAUUCCAUUUACAUUCAGAUUAUGUUUUUAUUGUGUCUUUAUUCACAACUUUAAUUUUUUAUUUCUUAUAUAUGAUUUAUUUUUAUGUAUUUUGAACUUUAAUCAACUUAUAUA